UACGUAGGGUGCAAGCGUUAAUCGGAAUUACUGGGCGUAAAGCGUGCGCAGGCGGUUUUGUAAGUCUGACGUGAAAUCCCCGGGCUCAACCUGGGAAUUGCGUUGGAGACUGCAAGGCUGGAGUCUGGCAGAGGGGGGUAGAAUUCCACGUGUAGCAGUGAAAUGCGUAGAUAUGUGGAGGAACACCGAUGGCGAAGGCAGCCCCCUGGGUCAAAACUGACGCUCAUGCACGAAAGCGUGGGGAGCAAACAGG
rnacentral:rRNA from 1 species